UACGACGGGGGCUAGCGUUGCUCGGAAUUACUGGGCGUCAAGGGCGCGUAGGCGGACAGUUUAGUCAGAGGUGAAAGCCCAGGGCUCAACCUUGGAAUUGCCUUUGAUACUGGCUGUCUUGAGUUCGGGAGAGGUGAGUGGAAUGCCGAGUGUAGAGGUGAAAUUCGUAGAUAUUCGGCGGAACACCAGUGGCGAAGGCGACUCACUGGCCCGAUACUGACGCUGAGGCGCGAAAGCGUGGGGAGCAAACAGG
rnacentral:rRNA from 1 species